rnacentral:rRNA from 1 species
UGGAGUCGGGUUGUUUGUGAAUGCAGCCCAAAGUGGGUGGUAAACUCCAUCCAAGGCUAAAUACAAGCACGAGUCCGAUAGCGAACAAGUACCGUGAGGGAAAGUUGAAAAGUACUUUGAAGAGAGAGUUAACAGUGCGUGAAACCGCUCAGAGGUAAGCAGGUGGAGUUGAACUGCAAGCUUUGAGAAUUCAGCUGGUGAGGUUGGUUUGGGCUUGGUCAAAUUGGUUGGGCCCCGAAGUACGUUAAACCACGUGUCCUUUCCCUUUGGGUUGGGAUGUGCGAUACACUUACCAAGUGUUGCACGCUUUGGGUGUUCAUCGAGCCUCCUUGUCAGUGCACUUUCUCAGAGUGGUCACCACGACCGACGCCGCUGUCAGGCUGUCAUA